rnacentral:rRNA from 1 species
GACGAACGCUGGCGGCGUGCCUAAUACAUGCAAGUCGAACGGACAGUUUAUACCGUCGUUUGCUACACGAUAGACGGUGAGUUGCGAAAGGGUGAGUAACCCGUAGCUAACCUGUCUGGUAGCGGGGGGUAACUAUUGGUAACGAUAGCUAGUACCGCAUAAUAUUAAUUAUUGCAUGAUAAUUAAUUGCAGGGUGCAAUUGCACCACUACCAGAUGGACCUGCGUUGUAUUAGCUAGUAGGUGAGGUAACGGCUCACCUAGGCGGAGAUACAUAGCCGACCGGAGAUGGUGGGCGGCCACCCUGGGAAUGUGACACGGCCCAGGCGCCUACAGGAAGCAGCCGGAGGGAAACGUCGGCAAUGGGCGGAAGACUGACCGAGCAACGCCGCGGUAGGGAACAAGGGUUUCGGGUCGGAAAGGUCGGUUGUAAGGGAAGAAAGGGCGUGAGAGUGGAAAGUUGACACUGUGACGGUAUCUGACGAAAAAGGAACGGCUAACUACGUG